UACGAAGGGGGCUAGCGUUGCUUGGAAUCACUGGGCGUAAAGCGCACGUAGGCGGACUCUUAAGUCAGGGGUGAAAUCCUGGAGCUCAACUCCAGAACUGCCUUUGAUACUGGGAGUCUUGAGUUCGGGAGAGGUGAGUGGAACUGCGAGUGUAGAGGUGAAAUUCGUAGAUAUUGGGAAGAACACCGGUGGCGAAGGCGGCGACCUGGUCCUUGACUGACGCUGAGGCGCGAAAGCGUGGGGAGCAAACAGG
rnacentral:rRNA from 1 species